AGGACACCAACUCUAGCACAAAAUAACUUCAAACAUACAAUUCAAUAACAAACGAGCUGAUGAGCGUUGGAGCAGAGCCGGGUAGAAUUCUUAUGCAUUGAGGAGCAGCAAGCAUGCGAAGCAUUCUUGCAGCAAGUGAAUGCUGGCAGGGUGCAGGCUGAGGCAGCUAUUAUUUCUGCCAAAGCAGAUGAUCUGCAUGCCCAAUCCGUAGCUGCCAUUUGCAAAGCAAUUACCGAGUUGGUGCCUGCAGUUAACCUUUUUGAUAGACUAUUUAACAAGAAUGACAGACUUCUUUGAAGAAU